GUCGAGAAUUUUUCACAAUGGGGGAAACCCUGAUGGAGCGACGCCGCGUGGAGGAUGAAGGUCUUCGGAUUGUAAACUCCUGUCAUGCGAGAACAAGAAAGUGAUAGUAUCGCAAGAGGAAGAGACGGCUAACUCUGUGCCAGCAGCCGCGGUAAUACAGAGGUCUCGAGCGUUGUUCGGAUUCAUUGGGCGUAAAGGGUGCGUAGGUGGCGUGGAAAGUUGAGUGUGAAAUCCUAGGGCUUAACCUUAGAACUGCACUCAAUACUCCCAUGCUAGAGGAAUGUAGAGGAGAGUGGAAUUCACGGUGUAGCAGUGAAAUGCGUAGAUAUCGUGAGGAAGACCAGUUGCGAAGGCGACUCUCUGGGCAUUUCCUGACACUGAGGCACGAAGGCCAGGGGAGCAAACGGGAUUAGAUACCCUUGUAGUCC
rnacentral:rRNA from 1 species